rnacentral:rRNA from 1 species
CCUGCCCCGAAGACUGGAAUAACCCGAGGAAACUCGGGCUAAUACCGGAUAUCCCCACCAGGUCGCAUGGCCAGGUGAGGAAAUGCUCCGGCGCUUCGGGAGGGUCUCGCGACCUAUCAGCUAGUUGGUGAGGUAACGGCUCACCAAGGCAUCGACGGGUAGCUGGUCUGAGAGGACGAUCAGCCACACUGGGACUGAGACACGGCCCAGACUCCUACGGGAGGCAGCAGUGGGGAAUCUUGCGCAAUGGGCGAAAGCCUGACGCAGCCACGCCGCGUGAGGGAUGAAGGCUUUCGGGUUGUAAACCUCUUUCAGCAGGGACGAAAAUGACGGUACCUGCAGAAGAAGCUCCGGCCAACUACGUGCCAGCAGCCGCGGUAACACGUAGGGAGCAAGCGUUGUCCGGAUUUAUUGGGCGUAAAGAGCUCGUAGGCGGUUUAGUAAGUCGGGUGUGAAAACUUGAGGCUCAACCUCAAGAGGCCACUCGAUACUGCUGUGACUGGAGUCCGGUAGAGGAGUGUGGAAUUCCUGGUGUAGCGGUGAAAUGCGCAGAUAUCAGGAGGAACACCGACAGCGAAGGCAGCACUCUGGGCCGGUACUGACGCUGAGGAGCGAAAGCAUGGGGGAGCGAACAGGAUUAGAUACCCUGGUAGUCCAUGCCGUAAACGUUGG